ensembl:lncRNA
GUUUUUAAUGUAGCCCACAUAGUAUUCUUUGCAACCAGUAUAUUCUUUCAUCUACAGCCCCAAAGAAUCAGACUUGUUCAGUAACCAGAAGUAGAGCACAGGCAGUACAGCAAAUCGUGAAGUAUACUAGAGAUCACACCAAGGAUAACUCAGGACAAACAAUUGGCUUGGGAGUGAGGGGAAAACAUAGUGAAGAACAAUCAAAUGAGGAGAGGACAUGCAGCAGGGCAAGGUAUUUAUCCCCCAGUUAUGGCAACAUCCUAUUUACUUUGGUGACUAUAAACCCAUGCUGAACUAGAAUGAAUUUCUUUUCCAAGAGAGAAUGUGUUUGUGUUAAGAAUAAAUGAUUUUUUUUUUUUUUUAAACAGCACACCGAUUCGGAUCAGAUGGCAGCAUGAAGACAAAGGAGAUUGAAUUUAUUUAACUUCUCUUAGAUAAAUGGGUCAUAUACUGCAACAGCCUAGGCUUAAGGUUUCAAAUGACAGUGUCUUCUACAGAGUGAGCAACAAUGUCAAAACUUCUUCCAGUCAGCUCCUGAGAGAGAGGAAGGAACUAAUUGAAAAGUUGAGAGAAAAUGCUAGUCAGAGCUUGAAAUUUGUGGCCUUAAUUUAUUACUACAGAUUAGAUACUCUUCAAACAAUAUUUUUGAUCUUAAUGCUUCUCUAAAAGCCAACUAACAAGAAAGUAAUAUAAUGAAAAUCCAUGCUUUUUAUACUGCCAAUAAUAAUGAAAAUGUUUCUGUUGGUCUUCAUGAAAGUGGGUUAAGUAUUGUAGUGUCUCUGCAGAGAAAUUGCCAGCUGAGUGCAUUUAUUUUUCUGAAGACCUGUCAAAACCUAACAUGGCAGUAUGUUCCUUCUACAUGAGAUGAAACAGCUACACUGCCAGUAAGAAUAUGUCAACAUGGUAAAUUUUCGCCUCUCUGGAAGUGGGCAGCUUGAUGAUUGCAGCCGGAUUAUGACACCAAGGAACAUUGCUGUCAACUCCACUACCUCAGAUCAGAGAGGAAACACAAAGAAAUACAGCACCUGGACAGAUGGGCUGUUCAUACACCUCCCAAGUCCUUCUUGUCUGGCUGCUGAAGGGAUUUCUCUCAACGUGUCAGUCAUGGCUCACAGCAAAGUGGUGAGACUUGCAAACUACAGACUUGUUUUGGCAUAAAAUGAAGAGGAAUUUUUUUUUUUUAAAGGAAAAAAGCUGAAGAAGGAAAUGACCCACUGGGUGUGACAGGAUCCAUGUAUUUCUCUCUAAAGUACCCAUGGAGAUUUCACAGGAGCAGACCAAGGUGAUGAGGUUGCCAAUCCAGCAAAUUAUUACUGAGAUGUCUUCCAAACAUGAGUGAGUUUCAUAGAGUUCACAGUGGUACUGGAGAUGAUGAUGAAUCCAUGAAGGUUUAACCUGAGUCCAGUGUCCCAUGCACUCCUGCAUUCUCCAUUAAUGACCUUUCCACUCAAAAGGGUUGAUAUUUUUUUAAAUAUUUUUAACCAAUGUAAAGAUACAUCAAUAGAGAGUAACCUUUUCUUCAUUUCCCCCCUCAGCACAUUCAAUGAAAAAGUAUCAACAUAUUGAGCCUAACAGGGAGUUCUCUUUGAGAGGAAAAGGUUAUGACAUCCCAAGGAAUUCUCGGAAAAUGUGAAACACUUGACAAUACAAAUCAACAAUCUGAUUUAUAGGGUGUGCAUUAUGAGCCAUAUCUGGAUGUAAGAUGUCAUUGCGGAUGUCAGUGAAAGAGGAGAAGAAAGAACAGAGGAGAAUGUGAAGAGGGAAAGCUGCAGAACUAAAUCCAAGCCUUUUGUAAGUGGACAUUAAAAGUUAAAGCACUGAUUUCACAAAAACGAUAGCAUUCUGCUGAGAGGGACAAAAUGGAUAUGAGAUUUUGACAGACUGGUUUUGUGCAACCUGGGAUGCAGUCACUUGUGAAAUGUCUUCAACAGUGACUCAGAGGAGCUGGUACCACAGGACCUGCUGAAUAAAUACUCUGCCUGUGUUUCUCCCA